GACGGAGGGAGCAAGCGUUGUUCGGAUUUACUGGGCGUAAAGGGCGUCUAGGCGGAUUGGUCAGUCAGGUGUGAAAACCUUCGGCUCAACCGGAGAUCUGCACUUGAUACUGCCAAUCUUGAGUAUGGAAGAGGAAAGCGGAAUUCCAGGUGUAGCGGUGAAAUGCGUAGAUAUCUGGAAGAACACCGGUGGCGAAGGCGGCUUUCUGGUCCAAUACUGACGCUAAAGCGCGAAAGUGUGGGGAGCAAACAGGAUUAGAUACCCUGGUAGUCCACACUGUAAACGAUGGAUACUAGGUGUCGGGGGUAUCGACCCCUCCGGUGCCGCAGCUAACGCAUUAAGUAUCCCGCCUGGGGAGUACGGUCGCAAGGCUG
rnacentral:rRNA from 1 species